rnacentral:rRNA from 1 species
GAUCAUGGCUCAGGAUGAACGCUAGCUACAGGCUUAACACAUGCAAGUCGAGGGGCAGCGGGAUUGAAGCUUGCUUCAAUUGCCGGCGACCGGCGCACGGGUGAGUAACGCGUAUCCAACCUUCCGCAUACUCGGGGAUAGCCUUCUGAAAAGGAGAUUAAUACCCGAUGGUAUACAAGAGAUUGCAUGAUAACUUGAUUAAAGAAUUUCGGUAUGCGAUGGGGAUGCGUU